UACAGAGGUCUCGAAGCGUUGUUCGGAAUUACUGGGCGUAAAGGGUGCGUAGGCUGCGCAGAAAGUCAGAUGUGAAAUCCGGGGGCUCAACCUCCGAAUUGGCAUCCGAUACUCCUGUGCUAGAGGACUGGAGAGGAGCUUGGAAUUCUCGGUGUAGCAGUGAAAUGCGUAGAGAUCGUAAGGAAGACCAGUGGCGAAGGCGAGUCUCUGGACAGAGUCUGACGCUGAGG
rnacentral:rRNA from 1 species